ensembl:lncRNA
GUCCUGGCCCUGCUUCCAGCAGAACUGAUUUUGAAUAUUGCCUCUGAUAUGCAUUAGAAUCAGUGAUUUUCCCUUUAUGAGCUUCAACUUCCUCACAGAUUCAGUAAGGAUAAAAUGGGCUACUGUGUGUGGAAGUCCUUUGUGAAUGACCAAGAAGGCAUGGUUAUUUCAUGAUUUUCAUUCCAUUGAUUGUAAGGCUGCGCUGCAUUGGAGGGUGACGGUGGGUGCUCUGUCUCCAAUCCGAGUCAGUAGGUUCAUAGCCUUUCCCACCCUCUUUUGCCACCCAACUGGGAUCUUCCCUAGCUGUGCCCUCCGUGGUGGUUCUUGCCUGUUUUCAUGCACCUGCACCAUGCUCUGCCUUCGGCUCUGACCAUUUGAUCACUUGUGGGAGGAUGCUUCAGAGGCCUCUGGGAAUAUCACUGAAAGAGCUAACCCUGCCACCCUCGUCUGUUCUUGUUUCUUGGGCUGUAUUAGUUUUAUUAGCAAAAUAACACAGGCCCAGUGAAAUGUAAUGGACUUCUACCUCCAAAGCUAAUAAAAGCCCCGUUCAUUUGCCAAUUCAAUUCAAAUGCAACUGCAAAAAGAAACCAGCUUUUAUCGCACAUGCUCCCAGCUCAGAUCCCGCUGCUGUUGUGCUGCUUUGGCACUUGUGAAAAAAUAAAUCCUGGGGAAUCACUGGGUUGCAAUAGGCUCCCGGUUAAACACAGGAAAGAAACAGCUGAUGUCUGAAUUUGCUAAUUUCCGCUGAUUCAGUUAGAGGCUGAUGCAGGCAGCUAACGAGGGAAACAUUCAGUGUUUCUGAACCUGUCCAGAGCCGGAGAUGACUGCAGAGAUCUCCUCUGGAGCACUCAGUCUUGAUUUCCAGCCUGACUCCACCAUCUACUGGCCGUGCAACUUUGGGCCUCCGCCAGAGCUGGAAGGGCACCUUCGAGGCAGCAGCUUCUGAGAAAUCACCUCUGCAAUAUCAGCGCCCUCUGAGCCCAGACUGUAGGCUUCAACAAAGAUUUGGAAGGAUGAUUUGGAGACAGAACCCACAUAAAUCUACCUCUCAGGAUCAGAGUUUUCUGAGUCUGAGAUUUACUGUACUAUAAACCUCAUGAAAGAUUGGGAAGGACCUAUGGAUGGCAAUGUCUCCGUAAAAAUGCACCCGACAAGAGCAGGACUCUCUGGACCUCAACAGAUUUACUGGACUUUGUUUCUCGCCAAGGAUGAAGCAGGACCUCUGGGAGGCAGCAGCACCAUGGAAAUGCACCUCAUAAUAACAGUGCUCUCUUCAGACGUCUCUGAAGGUAUUCAGAGACUGGUUGCCAGACUUGAGGCCCCACCAACGGCUGGGAAGGGCAUCUGGGAGGGAGAAGCUCCACACAAAUGCCUCCCUUAAUAGCAGUGCCCCCAAUCUGAGGAGAUUGGCAGGACGUUAGGCUUUGUCAAGGACUGGAGACAGUAUUUGGGGGUCAUUGGCUCCACAGAAAUGCCCCUCCUGGUAGCAAUGCCCACUGAACCUGACAACACUCGUCAUUCAACACUAGACGUCACCGUGGGCUGAGAAUGAAGUCUGGGAGAGAGCAGAUCCCUGGAAAUACUCCAUGCACAGCAGCACUCUCUGAGCCUGAGGAGACUUGCUGCUCACCAUCGGUCUCAUCCGGGCCUGAUGCCACCCUGCGAGGGAGGCAGUCUUCUUUGUAAGCACUGCUCUUUCAGCAGCAUCCCAGCUUCACUCUGUGUCACACUCUUGGACGCUUACAGUUCAGUCAAGGAUAUAAAAGAGGCUGAGGAGUCUAUGUUUGUCCAGCCAUGAAAUAGGCCAGUUAAGCUGAGGUCUAGAGAGAGAGGCACUCUCUCUUCCCUAAGAGGCACCCAGAGGACAGAAUGGAUAGGUUAUAGCUGCUGCCACAGCUGCUGCCUCCUUCAUCGCUUGUUUCUAAGAUCACCUCCAGGACGGAAUGCAGCCUUGGAAUUCUGCUCCAUAUCCCCAGCACCACCUAUGUUAGGACUGUCGCAGACUGAGGAACAUUUUACUCCUUAGAGCAACAUCCUGACAUUAGUGUAUGCACAACGAGUAAUGAAUUCAGAGUGCAAAUUAUUUAUGUUUGUUAACAAAUUAUAUAUAUUUUUUACAGUCAAUUUAUUUACCUAUAGGUAGACUGUGUGAUGUCUUAUGAAAGCAAACCUAUAAUAAUAACAGAUGACUUGCUAUGAUACUAUGAUACUGGGACUCUUUUAAGAGCUUCUACAUGAGUUAUUGUUUUGAAUUCUCAAAAUAACCCUAGGGCAGACUUUUUCAGCCUUAGCGCUCUGCACAUUUUGAGCCUGAUCAUGAUUUGUUGUGGGGCUGUCCCGUGCACCGCAUGAUGUUGGGCAGCAUUGCUGGCCUCUCCCCUCUGGAUUCCAGCAACUCCCCCCGACCCUCAACCCCAGUGUGACAACCAAAUAUGCGUCCAGAUGUUCCCAGAUGUCCCUUGCAGGACAAAAUUGCCUCCAUUGAUAACAACCACCCUAGAAGGAAGGCACACGUGCUAGCCCCUUUGUACAGGUGAGGAAACUGAGGCUUAAAGGGAUCAAGUAUUUGCCCAAAUUCAGGCAGCUAUCAAGGAAAAGACUCGGGAUUUAAAUCCUGUCUCUAGAGUCCUAGACUCUAUAGAGUCUGAGCUCUCAGCCACCACUCUACAUGUCGCAGAGUGAUCAUCUCUUUAAACUCAUGGUCCUACCAAGUCGCUCAAGACACUUCCUGCAACCUCACAGUCUUUUGCUAUUCAUGGAUAAGUGGAAGUUUUCGCAUUUCCAAGGCCAAGAUCACUGGAAGAUUUAACAUCUGUCAUGCACCUCUAAACCUCCUUCAGAGAGGCUAGGAACUAUGAAAACCUCUUUACCGUUGUUUCCACCCUGGAUUGGGGGAAGCCUAACUUUGUCACACCCACAGAACAUUUUUAGCAACCUGAAUGAGGGGGUUGGCUUCGCUGUCACUGUGUUUAUCGAGGUCACUGAACUGGUUUAAUGGUUUAAUGGUUUAUGACUCACUUCCUAAAGCCUCAAAUGCUUUUUAUGCCACCGGUUCUGUAAGGAUCAAGGAGUUGGCACUUGCCAAGCGCCUGAAGAUCUUGAACACAUUAUUCUUCUGCAGGGUUUUUCCUUCAUUUGCCAAUCAGAAAGAACAUAAAUCUACUAGCUGAAACUAGUUACAGAACCAGUAUGUAACAAGGCAAGGAGUUUCAGCUUUAGAAGGUGUUAUCAAAUACCAUCCUUACUUGUCAACUUUGUGGAGCUCUAGAAAAAGGGGAAAAGUACACCCAGGUAGUGAAUCCAAAAUGGCGGCAGUCACUUGUUCCUUGUUCAUGACCUUGUGGAUUUUAUUAGAUGGAUUACUGGCUUUCUGGGAUUCUGUGCUUCUCAAAACAGACUUUUGUUUAGCCUCAUUUUCUGGGUAAUUGCAUCAGUGGUAUUGCUUCUAUGCUCCAAAAGCAUGCUAUAUCUAAUUCUCAUCAUCCCAGUUUAGUAAACGGUUUGUACUUGUUAUUUCAAACCCAUUUUCCCACCAGCCUACCCUUACCAAUGCUUUAUUCAUUAUAGCUCAUUAGUUAAAUGUGUGCAUUACCUCAUCAAGCUUGUCUUUAUCACAAACUGGCAAGAUAUGUCAUUGUCAUUGAUAAGCUGGCAAGUAGGGACUUACAAAAACCCUCCAGAUCACAGAUCCAGGCCCUGCAUUUGCUUUUAAAAUUCUUCUUAUCCCACCUAUAAUGUGAUAGCCUUGAUAGCAAGACUAAACAAUUUUGUUGAAACCCCCCAGUCAACCAACUCUGAC